GAUUGCAAGUAAGUAGAUUGCAAGUAAGAUGCAAUCUGCUUACAUGCAAUCUGCUUACUUGCAAUCUGCUUACUUGCAAUC
rnacentral:pre_miRNA from 1 species